UGCUCCACAGUUGGUGACUGCACAGCAGUGCCCAUUCAGAUGGACAGCGGGCAUCGAUCAAUUGCUACAGAUUGUGGAGAGAACUGCAUUGGCUACUGCCGUAUCUGUUGUGGAGCAUGGUGAAAUACCGUAGUGCUUUAUGAAGGUGUGAUUAGACGACCAUGUCGCUGCUCUGCUAUUUCCUGGAGUGAGACUCCCUUUAGGAAAGCAGCCAGUGUCGCCAUAGCUGUGGUAGAGUGGGACUUUAGAUUAGUUGAUAAUACCCUUUUAUGGAGCAAGUAGCACGUAGUAAUGCAUGAUGUUAUGAGUUUUGAUAUGCGCUGGAAGACAGUGGUUUCCCCUUGGACCUUUUGACCAGGGAAAUCAUCAAUCUCUGGGAUGAUCGAAAGGAUUGAGUCCUAUGGCAAUAGAAGGCAAUUGCCCUUCUGACGUCCAGGGUGCAUCAUGUGGCUUCUACCCUGGAAUGAUGUGGUUUUGGAUAGAAAGCGGAAGAACUAUCAGUUCAUUGAUAUGGAAUUCUGAGCUGACUUUGGGUAAGGACGACAGGUGUGGCCGCAGAAUAACCUUGUGCUUGUGAAAGGUCGUGUAUGAAGGCAAAGCCGUGAGAACUGUGAGUUCGCCGACCCGCCUUACAGAAGCGAUCGCCAGAAGGAACAAGUAGUAAGGUGCGUGAUGUACUCCAGUACUUGGUGGAGCGGCGCCCUGGAUGGUUCGAGUGCCCUGUGUGCACACCACUGCGUAUACCAGUGCCACCUGUAUAGGUAGGUAUUCUGCCGAAAUGGUAAUAUUGCAGCAGAUGCACCAAUUCCAAAGCCUGAUCACCUCUGUGCAUAGCAACUGAAAUCUCACACCCCCUUGGUGGUUGAUGUAAAACAUAGUUGUCAUAUUGUCGGUGAGGACCCACAGCCCUCUUCUCCUCAGUUCCUUCUUCGCCGCCCUCGGUCACAGAAGGAGCUCAGUUCUCUCCUCCUCAGAGCCCGACACACCAACUGUGGAGGACCGGUGGGGACAUCACUCGAAGAAGAGCUCUGAACGGCAUGCGCAUCUGAACAUAUUGACAACUCUGACGAUAGCGGUUUAAACAUCUGACACGCACAAAUGGGAACAAAAAUCUAUUCCAGAAUACAAUUCAGAACACAAGAAAAAUAUCUGAAAGUUUUAAAAAACAAGAACAGGAGAAAAGAAUGAAGUUGGGUGUCCAUGCUGCAAACAAUGUAACUCAAUUAUUAAAUAUAUAUAUUUAUAGGCUGACACC